GAGAUGGCACCGUCUGGGCGAAAGGGAGUCCGGUUCCUAUUCCGGAACCCGGCCGCGGAACCGCUCCAAUUCGGGCCCUCAUCCGAGGACUCGUCGGGGUGACCCGAAAUGACCCGGAGAAGCCGUAGGGAGGUCCGGGGAGAGUUGUCUCUUCUCUAUAAGCGUUCGAGUUCCCUGGAAGCCUCUAGGAGGGAGAUAGGGUUUGGAACGCGAAGAGCACCGCACUUACGGCGGUGUCCGGAUCUUCCCCUCGGACCUUGAAAAUCCGGGCGAGGGCCACGAGGAACACCGCGCCGGCUCGUACCCAUAUCCGCAGCAGGUCUCCAAGGUGAAUAGCCUCUAGUCGAUAGAAUAAUGUAGGUAAGGGAAGUCGGCAAACCCGAUCUGUAACUUCGGGAUAAGGAUUGGCUCUGAGGAUCGUGGCGCGCCGGGCUUGGUCGGGAAGUGGAGCGGUGCCAACGUGCCGGGCCUGGGCGAGGUGAAGGGCGCUCUAGUCGUCUGGACCCUAGCUCGGUCCCGUGCCUUGGCCACCCACGGACCUUCCUUGCUGCGAGCCUCCCGGCUGUCUAGUUUUCGGCCCAGCCGGAGUACGGGCCGGAAGGCUCUUCGGCCGCCAUAGAACGAUCAACUUAGAACUGGCACGGACCUGGGGAAUCCGACUGUCUAAUUAAAACAAAGC
rnacentral:rRNA from 1 species